CAGUGCUAUGCAAAUACUGCAGUCAUUAUCAUCAGUGGUUUGCAAGAAUUCUUCUACAUCAGAACUGCUUAAUGAAAGGUGGCUGCAGACUUCCAUUAAAAAUUAUUUUUUGAAGUCUCUCUGUCAUGGGAUUUCUAUUUGCCUCUUGGUCAGACAUAAUGGAAAGUGUCAGACAGAUUAAAAUCUCACGUGGACAGUGAACAGGCUCAGAUUACUGCAGUGCUUUCUGCAGUGAUUUACUUUUUCACUGCCUUGAUGAUUUAUUCUGUUCCUUAUAAGAAGAUUGGACUUCAUAGUAAGUAACUUACAAUGAAGAAAUAUGGAGAUACCAAAAGUAGGAAGGAUUUGAAACGGUAGAAUACCUGCUGGAAAAAAGCUGCUCACACCGAUCCCAACUGAGCUGGGAACUGUCAGCUUCAGAAGCAUUAGCAGAAUCUGGGAAUCAUACAGCCUGAGAGCUUGCUCAAGAUGGGCCAACUGGCCACCAAGACUAGCUUUGUAAAGGAUUCUGUUUUCUGAGCUGAAUCUGCACACAAAUUUCCAAUUCCAGCCCAUGGGAGUUGCCAUGGUUUGCAUGUCAUCGCAAAAAUCUAUCUGAGGAAUGUCAUCUGCACUUGAGGGAAGGACAAGCAUUGUAAUUAAGUAUUAAGCCAUUUCACCAGUAUGAAUCUGCCACGAAGUGUGAAAUGGCUAUUAUUCACAUUUUAAGACCUCGCAUUUAUUAGCAUCUAUUUUCUACCCAAGGUUAGCAGCAUGCUGCACAGUGUUUAAAAAAAAAAAAAAAGCAAAAACAGUUUACAUUUUUGUUAUUCAAAUGGAUGCCUGUGUCUGUCUGACUGUACACAGAUUGCUAGCACCAAUUGGGCUUCUCUCAGGUCCCAGAGGACUUCUGGCCUGCACACCUUUGUGAGCAGCAUUGGAAGGGAUGCUCUGAUUAUGGAACAAGUGAUAUUCAGCUGCUGAAAUGUAAUGACAACCACAGGUGCAACACACCUUGGCAGAACACUGAUCCUGUGUACACAAAAGAUAUCCAGCCUGAGAUAACAAGCAGGAUUGAUGAUUAAUACCUCCCAGAAAAAGAUUUUGUUUGCAUUAGGAAACACUUGCAGAAUAAAUGCAGACAGCAAAUAAUGAUCCAGCCUGUACUGUUGUAUGCAGGGGGCAGCAGAAAUUUCCCUGGUCUAACUAGAGAAAGGCAAUGAGCACACACUUGCUAUUUUGCUGCUCAAUUAUAUACAUAAGGAGAGGAAUCCUGUGCAUCCUCCAGCCAGAAAUGAGAGAUUUCCACUGCUCUCUACCUUAUACACCAUGCCAUUUGGCAGCAGUUUAAUUUAGAAAUCUGCCCCUUCCUGCCCUAUUCUCACACUUCUGCUUUCAGUUAUGGGCCAUGUAGCUCUGGAAGAUGCUCCUGCACCCACACACCUGCACUUACACACUAGUGCAUCCAAAAAGAGCCCCAUAGCUGACCACAGACUGUUCAAUCACAAAUUCCAGCUACUUUCUUUUGCAGUUUGAGCCUAUCUCAUUUUUUACUCCAGCAAUUUAAACACCUUUAUGCCAAACUCACCUUCCCACUAAGAUGGCCUUCACUGUCCACCAGCCCUUCUUGAAAAGGAUCUGCCUGUCAGUGGGCAGCUCCUGUUAGCAGCACAGUGAGCAGGGCCAUGCCAUGAUUUAUACAGCUGGGAUAAGUCAGCAAAGCUCUGUCAGUGCCUCUGUCAUUUGCCAGGUGUGUGCCUGAUUAUCUGAUCCAUAUCUAGGCACCACCUGCUAAAAAUAGGGAAGGAAAGAACACUAAGAGCUAAAUCCCGUAUCUUGUGCUGGGUGGGAAAGGGUGAUAGUCAUUAAGAGCAGAUAUGCUGUAGCAAUAAGAGGGAGCAGCAAGACUCCUCUGCAACAGUUCUAUUUUAACAGAAGGAAAACACCUGCAAUCAUCUGCCUCCUUAACUCCAAGCCUUCUAUCGAAUGCAUUGUAUGAAGUGCUCAAUAUAUCAUCCAUAAGAAGCCUCAUGGAAAGACUCCCUUUGACCUGGGGCUGUGGUUUGUCUGCUCUAACAGACAAAUGGCCAGCAGCAAGAAGGCAUGUCAACAGCAAAGCAGCUGUGAAGCGAUCAUGAGUUCUGCUCUGAGGAAGUCACAUUCAACAUCAAGUGCUUCAAGAAAUGUUACCUGCCAUGAGAAAAUCGUCAGAUCACAUGUGGAAUCCUAGAUUAGCACAUCAGGAGUGAUGAGAACUUCUGCCUUUCAAACAAACCUCACAAGGGUCCACUCAAACUAGCUUGAAGUUCAGAAACUAGGAACCUCUUCUCUCAUUCCAACUGUAUACACAAAGGAAGGCACUGGCUUGGUGAGGACAAUUCUAGAAAUCCUGCCUUCUUAAAUCACUAUUACAUUUUGUUACAAAACAAGGAAAGUAAAAUCCAUCUCAAGGCAAAAGCAUGUUGUUUUGAAGCUGGUAAAAUUCUACCAGAAUUAUUACAUAUGCACCAGUAAAACAAAGAAAAGAACAGCUACUGUAAUGCUACAACAUGAUAGCAACUACAGCAACAAUAGCAGUGGAACAGCCCUAGGCUGCAGCAACUAAGAACAAGCCCAAAUGCAACAACCACGGAUGCAGAAACAGAGGAAGAAAAACUGCUUACCUUCAGCAGGCCUCAAGUAGGCAGGGACCUCUAGCAAAACCCUCUUAUCUCCACUGCCAGCCCUUAAAUGAGGUCUGGUAAGGGAUGAAUCCUGGCUCCACCCCUUCCAAUCACUCAGGAGCACUGCAUGCACCUGAGCUCCCCUGGGCUGGCCCUGCCUUCCUACCAGGUGCUCAAUCACUGCUUCAGGCCGUGAUUCAGCAUUUCUGCUACAGCACCCUUACCAGCUAAUCAAUCUGAAAACAACACUACUAGUUGCAAGGCUAAAUUGACCAUUUUUUCCUUGCUGCCGCCUUGAAGGAAUUCCCAGUGUUUGCUAAAAGCUAAACUAUGUUUCAAUGUGACAUGCUACUCUUCAUAAAUGACAUCCAUUUCCCACCAAAUGCUUCCUCUUUCAUACAACUGAUUUUUUGUGUUUCUUCUACUUUUUGUUCCUUUGAUCUUUGUGAACAUAAUGGUUUUUAGACAGAAACAUUAUUUGUGUUUGUUCUUAUUGAAAAUAUCUCUGCUGCUUUGUGAAGCACAGCUGAGAGAAGCCUUAAUUCGAUAAGAAUUAUUAUUUCACAGAAAGAGUGCUGUUGCAUUAGCUAAGCACUGUAUUUAAAUUGCUUUUUGGUACAAUGGGUCUCACUUGGACUAUUUGGAUAGUUCAAUACUGUACAUGGUAAGGUAGAAUUGCCCUAAUAAAAUCAAACUACAAGUGCAUUUCAUCUGUUAUUGGGUACUUUCAGUGCUUCAUAAUUAACUUUGGUCAAAAAUUACCCCUUUAAGCCCAAGAGAUUAAUUCUCCCUUAACUAUAUUUGUGUAUAACAGGAAAAACAAUCAUGCCUUGGUUUCCCAGCCUUGGAUGAGCAGUUUAUGGCAUUUUUUAACCUACAAUGACUGUGGAUGAAUUCCAGGUCUGUGAUUGCCGCUUACAAAGUGAAUUUCACGCUGUUUUCUUUUUAUUUAACUCCAGGAACAUAAACACCCUAAACUAGGGUUUCAGCAACACGCUUGCAGUGCAAGUGCUUGCCUAGCAGUCUGGUUAUGAGGGAGAUCCCUAUGCUAGGUCUGAACAAGGCAGUUUGGGUUGAGGAAGCUGCCCUAACAACAAGCCCACGGACAGGUGCUCUUGUACAGCACCUGUUCAACAUGCACCCUUCCUGCAUGUAUUAGUUUAACAUCCUUUUGAUACUUUUUUUUUUUUACAUUGGACCACUCACUUUUUAGUUAUGUUUCCACCUCCAAUUAUUUCCCUUCACUGCCACUCAUCAGCUGGUCUAGCCCUUAUCCCUCUCCUUGAAGGAUGUCUCAAUAGCAGUGAAGGCACUGAUCUUGUGAUUGUCAGACAGUUUUUGUUACUCUUCUUAACAUAUAUUGCCCUCUUGAAAGAAGACAAAUGAGGAAGCCUGGUGAUUUCUGUCAGAGUCAAGGAGAGGCUCUCAAGUAAAGCUCUUACCAAGUUACUUGGGCUCUAUUAAAACAAUCCAGUGACAAAAGAGCAUCUGCAGUCAACCUCUAUGUACAGGCAAUCACAAGGAUAGCAACUUGCAUUACAAAGACUCAAUUACUACAUAUAUUUAAUGUCCCCCAAAAAAUCUCAUAAUUCCUCUCUCUUAACUAUUUUGGGAUGAU